AGUUUCUGCCCUGUCCCAUCACAUUAUGAACCCCUCAGUUGAUUCAUCCAAUGAAGAGGUCAUAGUUCCAGGGCUCAAUUCCCUCCUCAAUCAUCCCUUCUGAAUGCUGAACUGGGUUAUGACUAGAAGCUGUUGGAGCUGUUGGAAGGGCUGAGAUUGCCAGGGUGCAGAAGAGAGUCAGUCACCAUUUCCAGUUCAAAAUCCCGGUUGCUAGAGCAAGACUCACAAAGUUCCAAGUGCUUCGGGUUCCUGGGGAGACAUCAUCUUUGUGUGAAAUUGUGUGGGAAGAAGAGAGAAAGCUCCACACUGUCUCUCUGAUGCGGUACUCAUUGAACUGCCCCAGGAGGACCCGUGGCGCACUUUUGCUGUAUCAGCUCAGGGGCUGCCACAUAAUCCAGGCUCAUCCUUUCCCCAGUCUCCCCAGACAAUACUGGGACUCCCUACCCCAGAAUCAUCAUCAGAUGGGAAGGCAGGUUGGAAUUUCUGACAGAGAAACUCAGAAACAGAGAUUACUGUUGACUUCAUAAAGCUGGUGGGCCUGUCAUGUUUUCUUCGUAUUUUACCAUUUUCUCUGGUUGUCCUCUGUGCUGCAUAACUUUUUUUGUCAAUGUGGCA
rnacentral:lncRNA from 1 species